UCUCUGUGAUGUCUCUCAGUAGAUCCUGCUUACCCUUCACUGUGUGCUCAAUAGAAUAGAAGGGAAGUGAAGAAACCCUUGGCUGAGAGA
rfam:Patagioenas fasciata monilis isolate BTP2013 Sc31e1R_139, whole genome shotgun sequence.